rnacentral:lncRNA from 1 species
GUCAAGUAAUCCAUAACCAAUCCUAAGAUAGGAAUUACGCCUAGAAACAUGAGCAAUUAAGUCAACUCCACCUAAAUUAAGCUUUCAAGAUCACCAAAAUAGCCCAAAUAAAGUUAAAUAUACUAACCAUGUUUCCAAUGCCAAGACCACAUCCCAAACAUAGCAUUAUGUCAUAUUCAUUCUACAAAUUUGUUCAAACGAGAAGGCAAUAGAAUUCUAAAAGUGUAGUAAA